rnacentral:tRNA from 1 species
GCGCCGGUAGCUCAGACGGAUAGAGCACCCUCAUCAGAAGGGGGAGGCCAAGGGUUCGAGUCCCUUCCGGCGCA